AAUUGGAGGGCAAGUCUGGUGCCAGCAGCCGCGGUAAUUCCAGCUCCAAUAGCGUAUAUUAAAGUUGUUGCAGUUAAAAAGCUCGUAGUUGAAUUUCGGGAUCAAUAUUUCGGUCAUGCCGUUGGUAUGCACUGUUAUCGUUGAUUUCUCACCUUCUAAAGAACCGUAAUGCCAUUAAUUUGGUGUUACGGGGAAUUAGGACUGUUACCUUGAAAAAAUUAGAGUGUUUAAAGCAGGCUCACGCUUGAAUACAUUAGCAUGGAAUAAUGAAAUAGGACAUCCGAUUCUAUUUUGUUGGUUUCUAGGAUCGAUGUAAUGAUUAAUAGGGAUAGUUGGGGGCAUUAGUAUUCAAUUGUCAGAGGUGAAAUUCUUGGAUUUAUUGAAGACUAACUACUGCGAAAGCAUUUGCCAAGGAUGUUUUCAUUAAUCAAGAACGAAAGUUAGGGGAUCGAAGACGAUCAGAUACCGUCGUAGUCUUAACCAUAAACUAUGCCGACUAGGGAUCGGAUGAUGUUAAUUUUUUAAUGACUCAUUCGGCGCCUUACGGGAAACCAAAGUGU
rnacentral:rRNA from 1 species